UGUCACUUGUCCGUGAUGAUCUUUGCUUGGAAAAUAUGGCUCCACCUGUCGCGCCUUUCCCUCAUCCACACCAACCGGUCGUCCGAAGCUCGAGCGCCACCCAUGGCCUCCUCCGCCUUGUCCGGCACCCACCAUCGCCUCCUUCUCCCCUGUUUCCUGCGCCGCCUCCCUCAGCCCGGUUCGCGCUCGUGCUCCCGCCUCCGCCUCGCCGCCUGCCACGCCGACACCCUCCUUUCCUCCUCCGGGGCCCAGGGGCCGCCCUCCCCCGCGGCGUGCUUGUCCGCAUCCUCCGCUGGCGGGUUCUCUGACUGGCUACUCACGAAUGGCCUGCCGCCGGGCAAGUUGGCCAUCCUGGAGCGCCCCGUCCCGUGCUCUCGCGGGGGCAGAGACCGGCCAUUACACUUCGUCGCUGCUGGGCAGGACCUCGAGGCGGGGGAUGUGGCUUUCGAGGUGCCCAUGUCGCUCGUUGUCACGCUGGAGCGGGUUCUCGGCGACGAGUCCGUCGCUGAAUUGUUAACGACAAACAAAUUGUCUGAGCUGGCAUGCUUGGCAUUGUAUCUCAUGUAUGAGAAGAAGCAAGGAAGAGAUUCACUUUGGUACCCGUAUAUUAAAGAACUUGAUCGUCAGCGAGGCAGGGGGCAGCUAGCUGUUGAAUCACCUCUUUUAUGGACUGAAAGUGAAUUGGAUUACCUGAAUGGCAGCCCCAUGAGGGAUGAAGUUGUUGUCAGAGAUGAGGGAAUAAAAAAAGAGUAUAAUGAGCUUGACACAUUGUGGUUCAUGGCAGGUUCAUUGUUUAAGCAAUACCCUUUUGAUGUGCCUACUGAGGCAUUUCCGUUUGAGAUCUUCAAGCAGGCAUUUGUUGCGGUACAGUCUUGCGUGGUUCAUUUGCAGAAGGUUAGUUUAGCACGAAGAUUUGCACUAGUUCCCUUGGGCCCACCACUAUUGACGUACAAGAGCAACUGCAAAGCAAUGCUGACAGCUGUUGAUGGUUCUGUUCGAUUGCUGGUUGAUCGGCCAUACAAAGCAGGAGAACCAAUAAUCGUUUGGUGUGGGCCACAACCAAACUCCAGGUUGCUUCUCAAUUAUGGUUUUGUUGAUGAGGACAAUCCAUAUGACCGCAUAGCAAUCGAGGCAUCCCUAAACACUGAAGAUCCUCAAUACCAAGAGAAGAGAAUGGUUGCUCAAAGAAAUGGAAAGCUUGCAAUCCAAAAAUUCCAAGUCUGUGUAGGCAAAGAGAAGGAAACUAUUUCUGAAAUGCUGCCAUACUUGAGACUAGGAUACAUUUCAGAUCCAGAUGAAAUGCAAUGUAUACUUUCGUCGGAAGGUGAUACAUGUCCAGUUAGUCCUUGCUCAGAGCGAGCUGUACUGGACCAACUUGUUGUGUACCUGAAAUCAAGAUUGGCUGGUUAUCCGACUAAUUUGGAUGAGGAUGAAGCAAUGUUGGCCGAUGGCAGUUUGGAACCAAAGAAAGAAGUUGCUACUAGACUUGUAAGGUUAGAGAAGAAAAUGCUGCAUGGCUGUCUUGAGGCUGCUAACGAGUUCAUAAGUGGCUUGCCUGAUCAUACCGUGUCACCUUGCCCUGCACUAUAUGCUCCUGAAUUGAAAUAAGAAGACACUUCAAUGAUGGGCUUGUUCAUGCUGAAUGCACAAAGACAGAAAGUUCUGGCACAAAUGGCUUUGUGAAAAUGCUCGACACACCUUGGUCUGAUCAAGAAAUGGGGAACAAGAGACCAUCAGCAACGCCUCAUGUAUCUAUUGUGAUUCCAAGUUGUGUACCAUGUAUAUCAUGGCGGAUGGGGUCUCCUCCCCAUCAAACAAUGCAACUGUUGGGUGGAUGGCAGCAUGGCGUCAUGACAGCAGAGACCACCUGUCUCUCUGGCGACAGGAAAGGAGGCCAACACAUAACCAGCUUAGAUCAUUGAAGCAUUGGUGUUGGAGAGGUUUGGGAACUUCAAGUGCUACAUAAGUGAACCCAAAUAUUUUGAUGGUUUAUGUAUCCGAGUUAAUUGCAUAAAACUACCACAAUUGAGGCUAGGUUAACAAAUUGGUACCACCUUUUUUUUCUUUCAAAUCAGUACCGGUUCUGUGUCUA